rnacentral:rRNA from 1 species
AGUGAACGCUGGCGGUGUGCGUAACACAUGCAAGUCGAACGAGAAAUUCCGGGCUUGCUCGGGAGAGUAAAGUGGCGAACGGGUGAGUAACGCGUGGGUAACCUGCCCCUGAAUCUGAAAUAACUUCGCGAAAGCGAGGCUAAUACCGGCUAUGGUCCCAGGGACUGUGGUCCUUGUGAUGAAAGAUGACCUCUUCACGACAGUUGUCGUUCAGGGAGGGGCCCGCGUACCAUUAGCUAGUUGGUAGGGUAUGGCUUACCAAGGCGAUGAUGGUUAGCUGGUCUGAGAGGAUGACCAGCCACACUGGCACUGAAACACGGGCCAGACUCCUACGGGAGGCAGCAGUGAGGAAUCUUGCGCAAUAGGGGAAACCCUGACGCAGCAACGCCGCGCGAGUGAAGAAGGCCUUCGGGUCGUAAAGCUCUGUCAAGUGGGAAAAAAGCUUCUUGGUGAAUAGCCAGGAAGACUGAUGGUACCAUUGAAGGAAGCACCGGCUAACUCCGUGCCAGCCGCCGCUGUAAAAC